rnacentral:tRNA from 1 species
GAGGGUAUAGCUCAAGUGGUGGAGCAGAUGCUUAGCAUGCACGAGGUCCUGGGUUCAAUCCCAAGUGCCUCCA